rnacentral:rRNA from 1 species
CUCCGUAGGGGAACCUGCGGAGGGAUCAUGUGGCCUCGGCUAACGGGUCACACCGGGAUGUUCAUAACCCUUUGUUGUCCGACUCUGUUGCCUCCGGGGCGACCCUGCCUUCGGGCGGGGGCUCCGGGUGGACACUUCAAACUCUUGCGUAACUUUGCAGUCUGAGUAAACUUAAUUAAUAAAUUAAAACUUUUAACAACGGAUCUCUUGGUUCUGGCAUCGAUGAAGAACGCAGCGAAAUGCGAUAAGUAAUGUGAAUUGCAGAAUUCAGUGAAUCAUCGAAUCUUUGAACGCACAUUGCGCCCCCUGGUAUUCCGGGGGGCAUGCCUGUUCGAGCGUCAUUUCACCACUCAAGCCUCGCUUGGUAUUGGGCAACGCGGUCCGCCGCGUGCCUCAAAUCGACCGGCUGGGUCUUCUGUCCCCUAAGCGUUGUGGAAACUAUUCGCUAAAGGGUGCUCGGGAGGCUACGCCGUAAAACAAACCCAUUUCUAAGGUUGACCUCGGAUCAGGUAGGGAUACCCGCUGAACUUAAGCAUAUCAAUAAGCGGGGGAA